CCUGAGAAACCCAAAAGAUCGAAUGGGGAGAUUCAUCGUCAGCUCAUUUUAUAUAUAUGCAAGUUAUGAUAUGGGUUACUAUAUGCAUAUAUGCACUUGUGUAUGUAUGUUUAGUAUUGCUUGUACAUUCUUGUAUAUUUAAUUGGUAAGAUGUUGUCGGCGUGCACUUCUCCCCUAGUAGGACGUCGCGACCCGUUGAGUUUUGUUGGUCUACGGCCCAAGGUGGUAGAUUUUAAUGAAUUUUUUUUAAUUCAUUAAAAACCCUUGGUGUUACCUGACUAACACUCGUCGGUAUAAUAUAUAAAAAUGGUAUUGAGCCGCAAAUAACAAAAAAUUUGCGUUCAUAUCUGUCACAAGCGAGGUUAAUAAAUAUAUAAUUACUAAUAGUACGGACUUAGUGCCGUCGUUGGUAUUAAUCAGCUGUUGGUUGUACAGAAUUCUAGAACUGGCUCAUAAUUAUAAUAUUAUAUUAAUAUAAUAUUAUAAAAUACCUGUCAGCGAUGCUACUGCUUUGGGUACUUUCAGGACCCGUCUUGAAACACGGACCAAGGAGUCUAACAUGUACGCAAGUCAUUGGGAUUUUUUUAAUAAAUAAACCUAAAGGCGUAAUGAAAGUAAAGGUCGUCCUUGUGUCGACUAAGGGAGGAUGAGCUAUGUAUGUAUAUUUAGCUUCGCACUCUCGGGGCGUCUCAUU
rnacentral:rRNA from 1 species